rnacentral:rRNA from 1 species
AUACGGAGGGUGCAAGCGUUAUCCGGAAUCAUUGGGUUUAAAGGGUCCGUAGGCGGACUAAUAAGUCAGGGGUGAAAUCCCGCAGCUUAACUGUGGAACUGCCUUUGAUACUGUUAGUCUUGAGUUAUAUGGAAGUAGAUAGAAUGUGUAGUGUAGCGGUGAAAUGCUUAGAGAUUACACAGAAUACCGAUUGCGAAGGCAGUCUACUACAUAUAUACUGACGCUAAUGGACGAAAGCGUGGGGAGCGAACAGGAUUAGAAACCCUAGUAGUCC